GCAGUUGUGGCCUAAUGGUUAGAGAGUUGGCUUUUUAACCUGAAGGUCGUGGGUUUGAGUCUCAGGGUCAGCA